GUGGGUUGUGGCUCAGUGGUAGAGCGCUCGCCUAGCAUGUGCAAGGCCCUGGGUUCGAUCCUCAGCACCACA
rnacentral:tRNA from 1 species